rnacentral:rRNA from 1 species
UACAUGGGGUGCAAACGUUGCUCGGAAUUAUUGGGCGUAAAGCGCACGUAGGCGGUCCGUUAAGUCGGAUGUGAAAGCCCCCGGCUCAACCGGGGAAGUGCAUCCGAAACUGGCAGGCUAGAGUACGAAAGAGGGUCGCGGAAUUCCCGGUGUAGAGGUGAAAUGCGUAGAUAUCGGGAGGAACACCAGUGGCGAAGGCGACUACCUGGCCUGUUCUUGACGCUGAGGCGCGAAAGCUAGGGGAGCAAACGGGG